UCUCUUUUUCUUCACUGUUUCUCUAAAUUUUUUUCUUUUCCUUUUCUUUCUCUUUGUGUCGCCCAAUUGAUCAUCAACUCCCAUGAUCUCUUAUUUUAUUUUCGUUGUUAUUUUUUUACUGCCAUUGUCAUAUCUCUAUAGCCCCUUUUCUUCUCCAUUGCCGUUGUCUUAGUAAGCGACCAUCUUUUCCGUCGCCACCCUAUUGAUUUUCUUCCUCUACUCUUCGUUAUUUUUCUGUUGUCACAGAUCUGAGCAAGUAGAUUUGAAUGUUCAAGAUCUAGAUUUGAACCAUACGAAUCAAUCGCAGCAUUAAGAAGUUAUUUGCAAAGCUAUCAUAAGUCAACUAAGGUACAGAUCUGAGUUGGAGCAAUACAGAUCUUAAGCGUAAGAGUUUCGGGAAAGAGAUCAAAUUUGGAUUAGCGUUAAUAGGUAAGAGUUUCGGGAAAGAGAUCAAAUUUGGAUUAGCGUUAAUAGGUGUGAGUCUUUCCCUAUGUCUAAUUAGCUUAUAGUUAAAUGAUAUAUUUGCUUGCUAGUUUUGGCUUGGCCGAAUGGCCUAAGUGCAAAUGAGUGAGGUGUCGAGUAAGGUACGUAAUCAAUUAGAAUCUCAAUUGUUAAAGGCCUUGUUUAGGUCUGAUGGAAUUGUGUAUGAGUUGUAUGUAAUGUAUGACUUGUGCUAUGCAUUGGUUGACUGUAUGAUUGAUAUUUCAUAUCUCUGAUUGCUUAAUCCAUGAUGAAAUUGUAUAUUGAAUGCAUGUAUGCAUGCUAGAUUUUGAAACAUUGACUUAGAUGCAUGUUUUAUGCCAUGAUUGAUAUUGAAAUUGAAGGUAUUUAAAUUGCAUACCAUGUAUGAUAUUGAUUGUAUGGAAACCAUGUGAGCAUACCAUUGUUACAGUUAAAUGAAAAGUAUGCAAAGCAUACAUCGACACUGAAUAUUGACAUGCAUGUUAAACAUGUCAUUGUGCCGAAAUGGUUAUUGAAAGCAUGAUAUGCUUACUGAUUGUAUGACAUAUUGCAUCUACAUGGGGUGGGUAUUUGUGGUUGACAAAGGAGUUCCAUGGAGUACUGGAAGCAUUUAAAGUUAGCAAUAUUGUUGUUAGUGCAUUACACCAAAGUAUCGAGGAGAUUGGGUUUUUUAUAGCAUCUUAUUGGUAGCUUGUCUGCAUUUUACUGGUGGUUUUAUCUACAUACUGUUACUAGUGAUUUUAACCACAUCGAGCUUCAACUCUUACUGUUUUAGAGUUCAUAUGACAGGUUUUGGGAAACUCGUGUGUGUAGCGGAUAGAUUGGUAAGACCAUUGCACUGUAUGGUUGAGCAUGCCAUAUUCACAUGUUGUAAUGCCAUGAUAAGUUGUUUGAACUAUUAUAAUAGUUGUGUGCCUAUUUGAGUAAUUGAAUGCUUAUAGUUCUUAUACUCACACAGAUAACCCCUAAGUUUAGGCUCGGACACAGCAUACGAAGGUCUCAUUACGAAUUUUUUGGCAAUAGUGUGUAGCAGAUAGAUUAGUAGGACCAUUGCACUGUAUGAUUGAGAAUGCCAUAUUCACAUGUUGUAAUGCCAUGAUAAGUUGUUUGAACUAUUAUAAUAGUUGUGUGCCUAUUUGAGUAAUUGAAUGCUUAUAGUUCUUAUACUCACACAGAUAACCCUUAAGAUUAGGCUCUGACACAGCAUACGAAGGUCUCAUUAGAAUUUUUUUGGCAAUAAAGUAUUUUUAAUUACUUUAUUUAUUUUUGGUAUUAUUAUUUUGGGAUUGUAAUUUUUAUUUAAGUAUGGAUUGUAGUAUGGGUUAUUUUCUAAUUGGGAUUUUGCAUGCAUGAGAUAUUUUGAUGGAAAUUGAACAAAUUAAAUAUCCAGCCUAACACAAUUUAAAACAUGGGAUUUCCAAAAGCAACACUUGUUCCACAUCAAAAUGGUUGAACUCAAUUUUCAAAAGGUUUACUAAUAAAAUUAAGUGGAGGUUAUAUUUUCAAUGAUGCGUAUUUUAAAUGAAACUGGAUUUCAAUUACAUUUAAUUUAAUAAGCAGUGUUUUUAACAAACCUAAUGCAACCACGCUAAGUUUUUUGAAAAUUGGUCAAAUAGUGAUUUUUAAAACUGAAUGUUUCUACUUGACCAUUUCGGUGGCUAAUGCAACCUACAGGACUUAGCCAAAAUGUUUGGGCUGGGUUUGGGAGGUUACAUGAACAUUCUUUAUCGAGUCUUAUACGAGCAUAUGAUGCUUUAGAGUCAACCCAAUAUCAAAUAAGGACCUUUUUGUAAUAUUUCUAGAAUUUUUGAUCAAGUAUGCCAUAAAAAUCAUUUAAAUAUUCAAUCAUAUCAUAAAUUCGUAGAUAGUAAGAUGCACAAUUAAAUCUGAGCCUUAAUUGAAGUACCGAAAGCUCUUUUGUAGACCCGAGCAUGAAAGAAGACUAAAUUGCAAAGAUUUGAAAGUUUGGGCUUGACGUUGUGACAUCACCAAAUAGUUUUUCAUGUCAAGACAUUACGACAUCAUAAUCUGUCUGCCAAUGUUGCGACAAGGGGUAUUGCACGUCAAGACGAAGACCUUGUUUUUAGUAAAUUUUGACUUAUUUGGUACCUAUUUCAGGUCAAGCCAAACCGUUAGGUCAUUUGGUGCAUACAUGUACAUAUAAACCUAUAAAGAACCAAUCCAAAGGUAUUCUCAAACAUUCAUUUAUCAUUACUGAAUUCAAAUAAUCUAACAUGUCUAAAUUUGGCAUCAUUUUAAUAAACAUGUAUUUAACCAUCUCAUGCCAUCCUCA